UGGAGGAUCAAAAAGAACAGGCUGAAGUCCUUUGGACUUUUGGAGACUUUAGAGAAUACAGUCACACUGCUGCUGAGAAAUCUGGACUGUACUGUGGAUGACGGACCUGUAGGAAGCGUUCCUGAGAUUUGGGACUGUCCUCACUGCACAGGUCAUGAUGAAGAACGGACGCUUAAAAGGCUUCGGGUAUGUGACGUUUUCAUCUCCUGAUGAGGCUCGAGUAGACAUCAUGGAGAUGAACGACAGGGUGCUGGGCAGCAGGACUGUGUACUUAAGUCCCUCUCAGACCACCCAGGGACGAAGUCAUGGCAUGAAGGUAGAAACCAUCUCGCCUUCAAAACCCUGCCCAGAACCAAGACCCAACGCCAACAAGAACAUCCAUCCACAGAGUGAGUCAAAGCCGUCCGAUUAGUUUUGUGUUAAGUGCAGUUAAAGAUUCAAAACAGAAGAGAACUUUUCAUGUUAGCAACAUUUACCUUCUGAUUGGAUGCUAACAUGAGAUGAUUGUCUGCAUCUACAGAUGUUCCAGUUGCAGAUCCUGGAAAAGAAAACCAGCAGCAGUGGAACAGGCGAUUCACACCACAGCCUCUCAGACUGGACACACAGGAACUAUUCUGAUUCUAUUUCCAGUGUGUUUUAUAGAGACCUUCAUGAUCUGGAGCAGGUUUUGGUCACAGCUGUGUUUGGUCACAUGUGAUAACUGGUUUAAUACUGAGUGAUUGAUC